rnacentral:rRNA from 1 species
GACGAACGCUGGCGGCGUGCCUAACACAUGCAAGUCGAGCGAUGAAGUUUCCUUCGGGAAACGGAUUAGCGGCGGACGGGUGAGUAACACGUGGGUAGCCUGCCUCAUAGAGGGGAAUAGCCUCCCGAAAGGGAGAUUAAUACCGCAUAAUAUUACAGUUUUGCAUGAAACAGUAAUUAAAGGGGCAAUCCGCUAUGAGAUGGACCCGCGGCGCAUUAGCUAGUUGGUGAGGUAACGGCUCACCAAGGCGACGAUGCGUAGCCGACCUGAGAGGGUGAUCGGCCACAUUGGGACUGAGACACGGCCCAGACUCCUACGGGAGGCAGCAGUGGGGAAUAUUGCACAAUGGGGGAAACCCUGAUGCAGCAACGCCGCGUGAGUGAUGACGGUCUUCGGAUUGUAAAGCUCUGUCUUUGGGGACGAUAAUGACGGUACCCAAGGAGGAAGCCACGGCUAACUACGUGCCAGCCGCCGCGGUAAUAC